rnacentral:rRNA from 1 species
GGCUUAGAGUUUGAUCAUGGCUCAGGACGAACGCUGGCGGCGUGCCUAAUACAUGCAAGUCGAGCGAGCGGAACUAACAGAUUUACUUCGGUAAUGACGUUAGGAAAGCGAGCGGCGGAUGGGUGAGUAACACGUGGGGAACCUGCCCCAUAGUCUGGGAUACCACUUGGAAACAGGUGCUAAUACCGGAUAAGAAAGCAGAUCGCAUGAUCAGCUUUUAAAAGGCGGCGUAAGCUGUCGCUAUGGGAUGGCCCCGCGGUGCAUUAGCUAGUUGGUAAGGUAAAGGCUUACCAAGGCGACGAUGCAUAGCCGAGUUGAGAGACUGAUCGGCCACAUUGGGACUGAGACACGGCCCAAACUCCUACGGGAGGCAGCAGUAGGGAAUCUUCCACAAUGGACGCAAGUCUGAUGGAGCAACGCCGCGUGAGUGAAGAAGGUUUUCGGAUCGUAAAGCUCUGUUGUUGGUGAAGAAGGAUAGAGGUAGUAACUGGCCUUUAUUUGACGGUAAUCAACCAGAAAGUCACGGCUAACUACGUGCCAGCAGCCGCGGUAAUACGUAGGUGGCAAGCGUUGUCCGGAUUUAUUGGGCGUAAAGCGAGCGCAGGCGGAAGAAUAAGUCUGAUGUGAAAGCCCUCGGCUUAACCGAGGAACUGCAUCGGAAACUGUUUUUUCUUGAGUGCAGAAGAGGAGAGUGGAAACUCCAUGUGUAGCGGUGGAAUGCGUAGAUAUAUGGAAGAACACCAGUGGCGAAGGCGGCUCUCUGGUCUGCAACUGACGCUGAGGCUCGAAAGCAUGGGUAGCGAACAGGAUUAGAUACUCUGGUAGUCCAUGCCGUAAACGAUGAGUGCUAAGUGUUGGGAGGUUUCCGC